rnacentral:rRNA from 1 species
GACGAGGGAUCCUAGCGUUGUUCGGAAUCAUUGGGCGUAAAGCGGAUGUAGGUGGCUUUGUAAGUCAGGUGUGAAAGCCCCGGGCUCAACCCGGGAAGUGCAUUUGAUACUGCGAAGCUUGAGUGCUGGAGAGGUUACUAGAAUACCUGGUGUAGUGGUGAAAUACGUAGAUAUCAGGUGGAAUACCGGAGGCGAAGGCGGGUAACCAGCCAGACACUGACACUCGGAUCCGAAAGUGUGGGGAUCAAACAGG